UUGUACCCACAGAGAAGUCCUGGCUAACUCCGUGCCAGCAGCCGCGGUAAUACGGAGAGGGCUAGCGUUAUUCGGAAUCAUUGGGCGUAAAGGGCGCGUAGGCUGAUUAGUAAGUUAAAAGUGAAAUCCCAAGGCUCAACCUUGGAAUUGCUUUUAAAACUGCUAAUCUAGAGAUUGAAAGAGGAUAGAGGAAUUCCUAGUGUAGAGGUGAAAUUCGUAAAUAUUAGGAGGAACACCAGUGGCGAAGGCGUCUAUCUGGUUCAAAUCUGACGCUGAGGCGCGAAGGCGUGGGGAGCAAACAGGAUUAGAUACCCUGGUAGUCCACGCUGUAAACGAUGAGUGCUAA
rnacentral:rRNA from 1 species